UGCGAACUCCUACGGGAGGCAGCAGUGAGGAAUAUUGGUCAAUGGACGGAAGUCUGAACCAGCCAAGUAGCGUGCAGGAUGACGGCCCUCCGGGUUGUAAACUGCUUUUAGUUGGGAAUAAAAAGAGGGACGUGUCCCUGAUUGUAUGUACCUUCAGAAAAAGGACCGGCUAAUUCCGUGCCAGCAGCCGCGGUAAUACGGAAGGUCCAGGCGUUAUCCGGAUUUAUUGGGUUUAAAGGGAGCGUAGGCGGAUUAUUAAGUCAGUGGUGAAAGACGGUGGCUCAACCAUCGUUAGCCAUUGAAACUGGUAGUCUUGAGUGCAGACAGGGAUGCUGGAACUCGUGGUGUAGCGGUGAAAUGCUUAGAUAUCACGAUGAACUCCGAUCGCGAAGGCAGGUGUCCGGGCUGCAACUGACGCUGAGGCUCGAAAGUGUGGGUAUCAAACAGGAUUAGAUACCCUUGUAGUCCAGAAGUG
rnacentral:rRNA from 1 species